rnacentral:rRNA from 1 species
UUGGUUAAGUUAGAAAGGGCGCACGGUGGAUGCCUUGGCACUAGGAGCCGAAGAAGGACGGGACUAACACCGAUAUGCUUUGGGGAGCUGUACGUAAGCGUUGAUCCAGAGAUUUCCGAAUGGGGGAACCCACUAUCUUUAGUCGGAUAGUAUCCUUACGUGAAUACAUAGCGUGAGGAAGGCAGACCCAGGGAACUGAAACAUCUAAGUACCUGGAGGAAGAGAAAGAAAAAUCGAUUUCCUGAGUAGCGGCGAGCGAAACGGAAAGAGCCCAAACCAAGAAGCUUGCUUCUUGGGGUUGUAGGACACUCUAUACGGAGUUACAAAAGAAAGUUAUAAAUGAAGCGGUCUGGAAAGGCCCGCCAAAGACGGUAACAGCCCGGUAGUUGAAAUGGCUUUCCCUCCAGAGUGGAUCCUGAGUACGGCGGAACACGUGAAAUUCCGUCGGAAUCCGGGAGGACCAUCUCCCAAGGCUAAAUACUCCCUAGUGACCGAUAGUGAACCAGUACCGUGAGGGAAAGGUGAAAAGCACCCCGGAAGGGGAGUGAAACAGUUCCUGAAACCGUGUGCCUACAAGUAGUUAGAGCCCGUUAAUGGGUGAUAGCGUGCCUUUUGUAGAAUGAACCGGCGAGUUACGAUUUGUUGCAAGGUUAAGCGGAAAAAGCGGAGCCGUAGCGAAAGCGAGUCUGAAUAGGGCGCAUAAGUAACAGGUCGUAGACCCGAAACCAGGUGAUCUACCCAUGUCCAGGAUGAAGGUAAGGUAAUACUUACUGGAGGUCCGAACCCACGCACGUUGAAAAGUGCGGGGAUGAGGUGUGGGUAGCGGAGAAAUUCCAAUCGAACUUGGAGAUAGCUGGUUCUCUCCGAAAUAGCUUUAGGGCUAGCCUCGAGGUAAAGAGUCAUGGAGGUAGAGCACUGUUUGGACUAGGGGCCCUUCUCGGGUUACCGAAUUCAGAUAAACUCCGAAUGCCAUGUACUUAUACUCGGGAGUCAGACUGCGAGUGAUAAGAUCCGUAGUCGAAAGGGAAACAGCCCAGACCACCAGUUAAGGUCCCCAAAUAUAUGUUAAGUGGAAAAGGAUGUGGGGUUGCUUAGACAACCAGGAUGUUGGCUUAGAAGCAGCCACCAUUGAAAGAGUGCGUAAUAGCUCACUGGUCGAGUGACCCCGCGCCGAAAAUGUACCGGGGCUAAACAUAUUACCGAAACUGUGGAUGAACCUCUUUAGAGGUUCGUGGUAGGAGAGCGUUCUAAGGGCGGUGAAGUCAGACCGGAAGGACUGGUGGAGCGCUUAGAAGUGAGAAUGCCGGUAUGAGUAGCGAAAGAAGGGUGAGAAUCCCUUCCACCGAAUAUCUAAGGUUUCCUGAGGAAGGCUCGUCCGCUCAGGGUUAGUCGGGACCUAAGCCGAGGCCGAUAGGCGUAGGCGAUGGACAACAGGUAGAGAUUCCUG